GUAGGUGGCAAGCGUUGUCCGGAAUUAUUGGGCGUAAAGCGCGCGCAGGCGGUUCUUUAAGUCUGAUGUGAAAGCCCACGGCUCAACCGUGGAGGGUCAUUGGAAACUGGAGAACUUGAGUACAGAAGAGGAAAGCGGAAUUCCACGUGUAGCGGUGAAAUGCGUAGAGAUGUGGAGGAACACCAGUGGCGAAGGCGGCUUUCUGGUCUGUAACUGACGCUGAGGCGCGAAAGCGUGGGGAGCAAACAGGAUUAGAUACCCUAGUAGUCCACGCCGUAAACGAUGAGUGCUAAGUGUUAGGGGGUUUCCGCCCCCCUUAGUGCUGCAGCUAACGCAUUAAGCACUCCGCCUGGGAGUACGGCCGCAAGGCUG
rnacentral:rRNA from 1 species